GUUAGCGUUUCAAGCGUGAAGUGUAUUAUCUGAAAAGUUAUUUCAUUUUAUUGGGUGUAUAUACAUAUAUUAUGCGAUUAUAAUUGAAAGAUCUGUGUUAUAAUUUUACACAUCAAAAAAGUUUUAGAUUACAAGACGCAGUUGCUGAGUCUUGGAUAGUAAAUUAUGUUAUUACUGUCGAUGUGCUUCAACUUACAUCUAACGUAGUGCUUGAUCUUGAUUAUAUUUAGCGACCAGCCUAUGGACUAUUUUCAGGGAAAUUCAGACGAUCUCUCUUACCAACAAAAGUAAAGUGGGAAACCUUUUAAUAACGCAACCUCCCGAAAAAGAAUCCUUACAACAGUAUGGAUGUUUGCGUUCAAAGAAAAUAACAUAGCUGAAAAAAAGCAAGAAGACAGAAGAAAAAGACAAACAAAUAAAGGAUCACAGUGUGGUACCGCAUUGAAAGCAAGAAUCCGAUUGGCUGGUAUAUUCAGAGAUCAACGCAUCUGGAGCACGCAUCUAUCUUUACCAUAAAAUAAGACUAGUGUCUACGAGUGUUGUGUAUUAAAAG
rnacentral:lncRNA from 1 species